rnacentral:rRNA from 1 species
UACAGAGGUGUCAAGCGUUGUUCGGAAUUACUGGGCGUAAAGGGCGCGUAGGCGGUCUUUUAAGUUCCGUGUGAAAUCCCUCGGCUCAACUGGGGAACGGCACGGGAAACUGGGAGGCUUGAGUUCGAGAGAGGUGAGUGGAAUUCCGAGUGUAGAGGUGAAAUUCGUAGAUAUUCGGAGGAGCACCAGUGGCGAAGGCGGCUCACUGGCUCGAUACUGACGCUGAGGUGCGAAAGCGUGGGGAGCAAACAGG